rnacentral:rRNA from 1 species
CCUUAAUAGCGGCUGCACCAUUAGGAUGUCCUGAUCCAACAUCGAGGUCGUAAACCCCCUCGUCGAUAGGGACUCUGGGAGAGGAUUGCGCUGUUAUCCCUAGGGUAACUCGGUCCGUUGAUCGGCGUUCGCCGGAUCAUUUUUGGUCAGAAAUUCUGGUACUUAGAGUUGUGGCUCUUGGUUGUGGGGGCAGUGCCCCCAGUCCACAUGGGGGCUUUGUUUUCCCCCGCGGUCGCCCCAACCAAAGACAUAGGGGCUAGGGGUCACUGUGUUUUUACCUGUUAAUUUAAGGUUACUUGACGUGAUCUGCCUGGUGUCUAAAGCUCCAUAGGGUCUUCUCGUCUUAUGUGUUUAUGUCCGCUUCUGCACGGGCAGAUCAAUUUCAUUGACUUGGAAGAGGAGACAGCUAAGCCCUCGUGAUGCCAUUCAUACAGGUCUUCAUUUAAAAGAC